GCCCCCGCCCCCGGCCCGCGCCCUCCUGCCGCCGCCUGUUUGGGCCGCGGGCUCGGCACCUCCUCAGCCCGGGCUCAGCGCCCGCAGCAUGCAGCAGCCGCGGGGGCGGCGACGGCGGCGGCUGUGAGGUGAGGCGGGGGCCGCGCUCGGGCGCCCCUCCCGGCUGGCCGGCUGCGGGGCCGAGUGGUGGCUCGGGGCUCACCGGGCCCGGCGCGGCGAGGGGCGGCGGCGCCUUUGUUGCGGCCGGGCCGCCGCCUCAGCCCUUUGUCUGCAGAUGGUGGACGCGAGCGGCCGCGCCGCCGCCGAGGGCUGGAGGAAGAUGGAGGCCCCGCCGGACGGCGCCGCCGACCUCGUGCCCCUGGACCGCUACGACGCGGCGCGCGCCAAGAUCGCCGCCAACCUGCAGUGGAUCUGCGCCAAGGCCUACGGCCGAGAUAACAUCCCUGAGGACCUCAGAGACCCUUUCUACGUUGACCAGUAUGAGCAGGAGCACAUUAAGCCGCCUGUUAUCAAGCUUCUCCUGUCCAGCGAGCUGUACUGCCGUGUCUGCAGCCUCAUCCUGAAAGGGGACCAGGUGGCCGCCUUACAGGGACACCAGUCUGUCAUCCAGGCCCUGUCCCGGAAAGGGAUCUAUGUGAUGGAGAGUGAUGACACCCCCGUGACAGAGUCCGACCUCAGUCGCGCACCCAUAAAAAUGAGUGCCCACAUGGCGAUGGUGGAUGCCCUGAUGAUGGCCUACACUGUGGAGAUGAUCAGCAUCGAGAAGGUGGUGGCCAGUGUCAAGCGCUUCUCAACGUUCAGUGCCUCGAAAGAACUUCCGUACGACCUCGAGGAUGCCAUGGUGUUCUGGAUCAACAAGGUAAAUCUUAAAAUGAGAGAGAUAACAGAGAAAGAAGUUAAAUUAAAACAACAGUUAUUGGAAAGUCCAGCUCAUCAAAAGCCUGGCCUGGCGCAUGCUGUGGUGCACUGCAUGCUGGAACCCGUGGAGUUUGCACGCGUGGUCCGCUAUCGACGAGAGCACCUUUCUGCUAGGCAGUCACCCUACUUCCCGUUGUUGGAGGAUUUGAUGAGAGACGGCAGUGAUGGUGCUGCUCUCUUAGCUGUGAUUCACUAUUAUUGCCCAGAGCAGAUGAAACUGGAUGAUAUAUGCUUAAAGGAGGUAACGUCGAUGGCCGACAGUCUGUAUAAUAUUCGGCUUCUGAGAGAAUUCUCCAAUGAAUAUCUUAAUAAAUGUUUUUAUCUCACCUUGGAAGAUAUGCUGUAUGCGCCGUUAGUGUUGAAGCCGAAUGUUAUGGUUUUUAUUGCGGAGCUUUUUUGGUGGUUCGAGAAUGUCAAGCCAGAUUUUGUUCAGCCCAGGGAUGUUCAGGAGCUGAAAGACGCGAAAACAGUGUUACACCAGAAGAGCAGCCGGCCUCCUGUACCUAUCUCCAACGCGACCAAACGCAGUUUCCUAGGCAGCCCUGCUGCAGGGACCCCGGCUGACCUGCAGCCCCCCGUGCAGCAGCCGGCGGAAGGCUGUCACAGGCACUACCUGCACCCGGAAGAACCUGAAUACCUCGGGAAAGGAACUGCUGCCUUCAGCCCAUCCCAUCCUUUAUUGCCACUGAGACAGAAACAGCAGAAAUCCAUACAGGGAGAGGACAUCCCUGAUCAGCGACAUCGAUCGAAUUCUUUGACCCGAGUUGAUGGUCAGCCUCGAGGAGCAGCAAUAGCCUGGCCAGAAAAAAAAACCAGCAGCGCACCCAGUGGGCCUUCCCUGUGUUUCAGGCCUGCGUCCCAGCCAACACCUUUUGCUCUACAUCACGCUGCGAGUUGUGAAGUGGAUCCCAGCUCUGGCGACAGCAUCAGCUUGGCCCGCUCCAUCAGCAAAGACAGUUUGGCAUCCAACAUUGUUAAUCUGACCCCACAGAACCAGCCACACCCCACGGCCACGAAGAGCCACGGGAAGAGCCUCCUGAGCAAUGUCAGUAUUGAGGAUGAGGAAGAGGAGCUUGUGGCUAUUGUUAGAGCAGACGUGGUUCCCCAGCAGGCUGACCCGGAGUUCCCCAGGGCCUCACCCCGGGCCUUAGGCCUUACAGCAAAUGCCCGGUCUCCCCAAGGACAGCUGGACACCUCGGAAAGUAAGCCUGACAGUUUUUUCUUGGAGCCUUUGAUGCCAGCAGUUCUUAAGCCAGCGAAAGAGAAGCAGGUGAUCACCAAGGAGGAUGAACGGGGGGAAGGGAGACCGAGGAGCAUCGUGUCCAGGAGGCCCAGCGAGGGCCCCCAGCCUUUGGUACGAAGGAAAAUGACUGGCAGUCGCGACUUGAAUAGGACUUUUACCCCGAUUCCAUGCUCAGAAUUCCCCAUGGGCAUCGACCCCACCGAGACAGGACCACUGUCAGUGGAAACCGCAGGAGAGGUCUGUGGUGGGCCUCUGGCCCUCGGCGGAUUCGAUCCGUUCCCCCAGGGACCAUCCACGGAUGGCUUCUUCCUUCAUGUAGGCAGGGCCGAUGAAGACACCGAGGGAAGGUUAUAUGUUAGUUGUUCAAAAAGCCCCAACUCCCACGAUUCAGAGCCGUGGACUCUCCUCAGGCAGGAUUCUGACUCGGAUGUGGUGGACAUAGAGGAAGCCGAGCACGAUUUCAUGGGUGAGGCCCAUCCUGUGGUUCUCAGCAGAUACAUUGGGGAGGAAGAGUCGGCCAAACUGCAGGAGGACAUGAAGGUGAAGGAACAUGAAGACAAAGAUGACGCCAGUGGCCGCUCGAGCCCCUGCCUGAGCACAGCCUCUCAGAUGAGCAGUGUCUCCAUGGCGAGUGGGAGCGUGAAGAUGACCAGCUUUGCGGAGAGGAAGCUCCAGAGACUCAACAGCUGUGAGACCAAGUCCAGCACCAGCAGCUCCCAGAAGACCACGCCAGAUGCGUCUGAGAGCUGCCCAGCCCCUCUGACGACGUGGAGGCAGAAGAGGGAGCAGAGUCCGAGCCAGCAUGGCAAGGACCCCGCCAGCCUCCUGGCAUCUGAGCUGGUACAGCUGCACAUGCAGCUGGAGGAGAAGCGCAGGGCCAUCGAGGCCCAGAAGAAGAAGAUGGAGGCGCUGUCGGCAAGGCAGCGCCUGAAGCUCGGCAAGGCUGCGUUCCUGCAUGUGGUGAAGAAGGGCAAGGCCGAGGCUGCCCCACCCCUCAGGCCGGAGCACUUUGCAAAGGAGUACUCUCAGCACAACGGGGAGGACUGUGGGGACGCUGUUUCCAAAACCGAAGACUUUCUCGUGAAGGAGGAGCAGAGAGAGGAGCUCCUUCACGAGCCACAGGAUGUGGACAAAGAGAGCCUGGCCUUUGCUCAGCAACAUAAAGCAAAAGACCCUGUGGCUCUGCACGAGCUGGAGAGAAAUAAGGUGAUCUCCGCCGCCCUCCUGGAGGACACUGUUGGGGAGGUUGUCGACGUGAAUGAAUGUGACCUUUCCAUCGAGAAGCUCAACGAAACCAUCAGUACGCUGCAGCAGGCCAUCCUGAAAAUCUCUCAGCAGCAAGAGCAGCUUCUGAUGAAGUCCCCCACAGUCCCAGUGCCGGGCUCUAAGAAUAACUCGCAGGACCACAAAGUGAAGGCGCCAGUCCACUUCGUGGAGCCACUCUCUCCCACAGGCAUGGCUGGCCACCGCAAAGCCCCCCGGCUGGGUCAAGGCCGGAAUUCCCGUUCCGGAAGGCCGGCGGAGCUGAAGGUCCCGAAAGACAGGCCACAGGGCUCCUCCCGAAGUAAAACCCCAACGCCCAGUGUAGAGACGCUCCCGCACUUGAGACCCUUCCCUGCCAGCAGCCACCCUCGGACGCCCACGGACCCUGGCCUGGACGGUGCCCUGGAGCCCAGUGGUGACCCACAUGGGAAGUGUCUCUUCGACAGUUACAGGCUCCACGAUGAAAGCAAUCAGCGGACACUUACUCUGUCCUCUUCCAAAGAUGCCAACAUUCUUUCGGAGCAGAUGAGCCUCAAAGACGUUCUGGAUGCGAGUGUGAAGGAGGUGGGGUCCAGCUCCUCAGAUGUCUCGGGAAAAGAGAGCGUCCCCGUGGAGGAGCCUCUGAGGAGCAGGGCCAGCCUCAUUGAAGUGGACCUCUCCGACCUGAAGGCCCCCGACGAGGAUGGGGAGCUGGUAAGCCUCGAUGGCUCGGCGGACCUUGUCAGCGAAGGCGACCAGAAGCCGGGGGUCGGCUUCUUCUUCAAGGAUGAACAGAAAGCGGAAGAUGAGCUCGCCAAGAAGCGGGCGGCCUUCCUCCUGAAGCAGCAGCGCAAGGCCGAGGAGGCCCGCGUGCGCAAGCAGCAGCUGGAAGCGGAGGUGGAGCUCAAGCGUGACGAAGCCCGGCGCAAAGCUGAGGAAGACCGGGUGCGGAAGGAGGAGGAGAAGGCGCGGCGCGAGCUCAUCAAGCAGGAGUACCUGCGGAGGAAGCAGCAGCAGAUCCUAGAGGAGCAGGGGCUCGGCAAGCCCAAGUCAAAGCCGAAGAAGCCGCGGCCGAAGUCGGUGCACCGGGAAGAGUCGUGCAGCGACUCCGGCACCAAGUGCUCCUCCACCCCUGAUAACUUGAGCCGGACUCAGUCAGGCUCCAGCCUGUCCUUGGCCUCUGCGGCGACGACAGAACCCGAGAGCGUUCAUUCCGGAGGCACACCCUCUCAGCGAAUAGUUGCAAUCAUGUCAUCAGGAAUACCAGUGCCCUUCACACGGGCUCCCCAGCUGGUUAAACGUGGCAGCCUUCACCUUAUCACCCUCCCCUGUCCCCCACCCCACACGUGCACACCUGCUUCUUCAUCGUUUUGAGUCCGUUGGAGUCCAAGCGUGGUGGCUCACACCCAUGAUUCCAGCACUUUGGGAGGCUGAGGCAGGAAGAUCACUUGGGCCUUGGAGUUCCAGACCAGCCUGGGCAACAGAGUGAGACCCCCCCAUCUCUACAAAAAAUACAAAAAAAAGUCAGCUGGGUGUGGGGGCAUGCACCUAUAGUCCCAGCUACUUGGGAGGCUGAGGUGGUAGUAUCGCUUGAGCCCAGGAAGUUGAGGCUGCGGUGAGCUGUGCUCACGCUACUGCACUCCAGCCUGGGCAACAGAGUGAGACGCUGCCAGAAAACCCCCAAAAGCAAAAAUAAACAGAAAAAAACCACUCCGUUGGAGAUGUCUGGCCUUUUAUGCUUAAAUACUUAAGUGUGUAUUUCCUAGAACGAGAAUGUUUUCUCGUGUUACCAGUUACCAAGGCAGCACUUUCAUCCGAUUUGCGGUCCCCAUUCAGCUGUCCUCAGCUAUCCCAAGAGUGUCCCUGACAACUGUGUUGUUCCCUAGUCCAGGAUCUGGUUUGGGGCGAUGAAUGGCCUUGAAAUGCCAUGUCCCUGUAGUCUCCUUCGAUCCAGAGCAGUUCCUUAGCCUUUCUGUGUUUUUCUGGACCUUGACUUUUGGUAACCACAGGUCAGUUAUCCUUCUGGCUGCCUCUCAGUAUCGGCUUCCUGUGAUGAGACUGAGGCCUCGCGCUGCUGAUUGAGCAGCCCAGAAAGUGGAAUCGAUGGAAGCCCUGCCCAUACUGAGCCGUAACGCAAGCAGGAGCACAGACCGAGACUGGGAGACCGCGUCGGCGGCAUCUUCCCUGGCCUCAGUGGCCGAGUACACAGGUCCCAAGCUCUUUAAGGAGCCCAGUAGUAAAUCAAACAAGCCGAUUAUUCACAAUGCCAUAUCCCAUUGCUGCCUGGCUGGAAAAGUGAACGAACCCCACAAGAAUUCCAUAUUGGAGGAGCUGGAGAAGUGUGAUGCCAAUCACUACAUCAUACUGUUUCGUGAUGCUGGCUGCCAGUUCAGGGCGCUUUACUGCUACUAUCCUGAUACUGAGGAAAUCUACAAACUCACUGGCACGGGGCCAAAGAACAUCACCAAGAAAAUGAUCGACAAACUGUAUAAAUACAGCUCAGACCGAAAACAGUUUAACUUGAUCCCAGCCAAAACCAUGUCUGUCAGUGUGGACGCACUCACAAUCCACAACCACCUGUGGCAGCCCAAGCGGCCUGCAGUGCCAAAGAAGGCCCAGACUCGUAAAUGACCCCGGUGCAGCUGGCGUCCAAAGGGUGACCCAGACUCGUAAAUGAUGCCCUUGUGGCUGGCAUCCAGAGGGUGCCACGGGGUCCUUAUUUAUUGUUUUCAUCUAUUUGGGUACGAAGUGUGCAAAGUCACAGACCUUUUGCAAAGAGGUUUCUAGACAGCAGAAGAAAACCCCUCUCUCAGCGCUCAUCUCACGCAGAGGAUGCCAGGCAGGGUGAGGAUGGGGGAGUAGAUGCCGCUUUUGCAGUGGCUCGCACUGCUGUGGCCACUGCUGACCACUGAGGCUCCCAGCGGAGGGUGUUCACAGCCAGGUCCCGGGCCACGGAGCUCCCUUACUUGAAGUUCUCCUUCAGCAUAGAUUAGACGUGAUCCACUUUGCUUUCUUGCUUCUCACCUCGCCCCCUUGCACAUUGCCUGACACCCUCAUUUUGGCCAGCUGUAAUCUCAAGUGACUAUAGGACUGAGGCUCAAUCUUGGCUUGGGGUGUUUGAAUGUCUAUAGCAAAGGAAUUCAUAAUGGGAAAUCUUUUUCAUUUGAGAAGUUAUAUGAUAUUUAUUGAUUGUGUCUACUGCCAACAUUUAUAUCCAAUUCUAAGAUUUCUGAAAAAAAAUUCUUAUCCCUUGCUGCUCAGAAAAAGUUUACUGAAAAUACCAGUUCACUAAAAGCACUGAAAUCUGCAAAGUCUGUCUUCUGCUAAAGUAACGUUUACAAAUGUGAAGAUGAUGAUUUCUGGCACGCAGUCAUGAGGAUGGGGAAUGGCACUAGGAGCUGAUGUUUGCCUCAUUUCAAGUAGGCAAGCUGAGCCAACUGCAGCCAUCAUUCAUUAAGUUUUGGGUAGUGCUCUAAUGGUUUGUUCACUUUAAUAAAGACAGAUUUUGGUAAAGUAGAAUAUUUUUCAUUCUGAGCAUGUUUGUCCCAAAAGGUGAUGCACUUAAGCUGACAGUCCCUUCAGUGGUUUUGUUAGGUCACGGCUUGUCCUGUCUGGAUUCUGCAUCUGGAAGCGCUGCAUGCUCUCAGAGGAGCGUGCCGUUUCCCCUGUAGAUGGAUACUUUUGUUUUGUUGCCUAUUUAAAAACAAUUAAGUGGUUAUUUGCAGUUAUUUCAGAACUCCAAGUAAGUGGAUGGCUUUGGGUUCUUUCUGCCUUGGUCCCAAUGGUGUUGAUGCUUCUGUGGAGCGCGGACAUUCCCAGGAGCAGGUGCGUGCCAGCCAUGGCUGCCAGACACUGCUGCAACUGACCAGCUGCCGGAAGAUUCUGGAGCCACUAACAUUAGUUUUGCACAUAUUUUCUUGGGAGUGUUACUUGAAUCUAUCUCAAACUGCAGAAAAAAUCAAAAGAUCAAUAAUUGGGAGAAAAAGAGACAAAUUUAACUGUUACAUAAUUUUAGAUAGACAAAAAACAUGAGUGAGUCGUGUACAUAAGGAGGGAACAUGGUACAGAAGGCUAGAAGGAAUUAUAGGUCUUAUUCCCCUUUCCUCAGUCCUUUGAAGAAAAGUACAGUCUCUUGCGAUUUUGUAUAUAUCGUGUUCGACACAGCCGCUCUCUGUCCUGUAAAUAGGGAACUAAAGGCUGUAUGAUUUCUCAAGUGCUGAGUUACACAGUCCUGAGUGAGCUUUCUGUUACCAUACUUUCACACGUGGGCUUUAUUUCUCACUGUAUGUUUGAUAUGAUAUUACUGUAUUUAUUUUAAGAAAGCACUAAGAUGUAAUAAAGUGAUGAACUAAUUUGCUUUACAUUGAAUCGUAUGUGUGAGGUUGCUGUGGCUCAUUUCGCUGACCAGGCGACACCAACUCCUUGCUUUAUAGGAGUUUCACAUUGUUCUUUACCAUGGCCCUAUCGAAGUCAGUGGAAUUGGAUUCUUUUUAAUGAAGAGCUAGAAAAUAUCUGGCAUAGAGCUGGAAAAUUGCAUUCCCAUGGGACGUCUGAAUCAAUUCUGGAUUUUCUCCAUGGAAGGAGUCAGUGUGUGGAACAUCCUGAAACUUGUCCUUAAGCGUGUAGUUUUCACUGUUUGUUGCGAGUAAGCACUAAUGUGGCAUGGACAUUCCUGAUGUCCCAAGUCCCCAGGCCAGUGUUCGCCUAAUGAUUGACAGAAGCGUCCCUGCAUUCUUCAUGCUUGGACACAGCAACCCUUUUAAUUAGUCUUGAAAAGUUUCAGACACAGGAUUAAUUUUCGUGGUGGUGCUUUUGGGCCUUUCUGGCUUGGGUGGUGGUAAAGUCAUGAUUUUGCAGUUGAUAACACUGACUUAUAACUCUGUUUAUCAAUGUCUCCUAUAUUCAAAGCCCCUGCAGUGGUAUUUGUGUCUCGUUGCAAAUUUCUUUCAGCGGAAAGCUUGCACAACUUUCGUUGUGUCUCAGAAUUCUAACCUUGUUAUUUAAGACAAGCUGCUCUACCCAUUUAGGAUAUAACUUUGUAAAGAAAGUGUAAACCAAAUGAUUCAAUGUAUGAUGAAGUUUAUGUGUAAAUCCUUGGUAAUGCUAGAAUUCUGGGAGCCCAGAAGGGUUGAAAGAGAAAUGAAACUUGCGUGAGUCCCAUUAUUUUACGCAUGUAUGUGCAGAUACGUUCUACCCACACGUGUGCAUGCACAUGGCUGUGUGCGUGCACCAAAGAUGGACUGCUUUCCAUGUGUCCUUUUGACUUUCUACACGUGUCACUGCGGUGCAGUCUCUUAGCAGACUUCAGGCCCAAACUGUAUUCUUCACUCAGGCAAAAUUGAAAAGUGGAAUAAUUCUAAAUUACUUCUAGGUUAUACUUUUACCUCCCUGAAAUUGUAGUUGUCACUUGGAGGGCAAAAUAUUUAUUGAAAUAAAAUUUUCUGUUAAAAAUUCA